AAACCAGCACCUCAAGUGGUCAGGAUGAUUAUUGGGCCUAAAGCAUCCGUAGCCUGCUCUGUAAGUUUUCGGUUAAAUCUGUACGCUUAACGUACAGGCUGUCGGGAAUACUGCAGAGCUAGGGAGUGGGAGAGGUAGACGGUACUCGGGAGGAAGUGGUAAAAUGCUUUGAUCUCUCGAUGACCACCUGUGGCGAAGGCGGUCUACCAGAACACGUCCGACGGUGAGGGAUGAAAGCUGGGGGAGCAAACCGGAUUAGAUACCCGGGUAGUCC
rnacentral:rRNA from 1 species